CGGGCCGCACAAGCGGUGGAGCAUGUGGUUUAAUUCGACGCAACGCGAAGAACCUUACCAGGGCUUGACAUCCCCUGACCGCGUAUGAAAGUACGUUUUCACCCUCGGGUGACAGGAGACAGGUGGUGCAUGGUUGUCGUCAGCUCGUGUCGUGAGAUGUUGGGUUAAGUCCCGCAACGAGCGCAACCCCUACGUUUAGUUGCUAACGCGUGAAGGCGAGCACUCUAGACGAACUGCCGUUGACAAAACGGAGGAAGGUGGGGAUGACGUCAAAUCAUCAUGGCCUUUAUAUCCUGGGCUACACACACGCUACAAUGGGCAGUACAAUAGGUUGCGAAGCCGCGAGGCGAAGCCAAUCCCUAAAGCUGUCCUCAGUUCAGAUUGCAGGCUGCAACCCGCCUGCAUGAAGAUGGAGUUGCUAGUAACCGCAGGUCAGCUAUACUGCGGUGAAUACGUUCCCGGGGUUU
rnacentral:rRNA from 1 species